AAAAGAGACAGGAACCAUUCCCAAGUAUUCAUUAUAAUGUAUCUUGUUAAAGAAUAUCUGUCACCAGAAUUCUAAAAUCUUUAUAAACAGUGGUAAAAAUGUGAAAUACUGAUAUUGUAACACCAAUUAAGCCUACCAUUUUUCCCAAUGUAUUCAAUGUUUUAAAGGAGGCUAUUUCUCUUUGCAAUCUUUCCAGGUAGACUCACAGAAAGCCAACCAUUUCAUAGAACUAGAUCUGUGCAACUGAGUGGAGAUCGGGCUGCCCAUGGCUGAGACGUAGGGACCACCCUCCCUCACACAGCAAAGGCAUGCUUGCAGGGACUGCGUGCCAUUCACAUUUGUUUUUCUAGACCCUUACACACAUCUGAACAUUAAAGAUGCCCAAGAAAUCCUCAAUGAAAAGAAAAAGGUGCAGAGACUCAGUGAAUGUAUACGGCUUCUCCUUAGUCUCAAUUUUUCGUGCUUUCUCUCCUUCCGCACUCUCAGCCUCUUUUUAUUCUCCUCCUUUCUUCUUGUGCUAGGAGCUUGGGAGGACCCAUGAUGGUUCCUCCUUCAAGUAGAGUGAAAAAAGGAGGGCUAUAGGCUAUAACUCUUUUCUAUUUAAAAUUCCUUUGGGCUGAAAGAGGAAAGCAGAGGGCAUUAUCACAAACUGUGAAGCACAGACCACCAAUAUCCUUCUGUUGGAGGAGGUCAUGGAGAGGAGGUGACCACUGGCUGACCUGUGAGCAGGAGCUGGGCAAUCAGAGGCUCCUCACUCCUCUCCUGUGCUUGGAAUGUGUGUUUGGCCCACUGUUCCCACAGCUGGAGCCAUUUUCAAGGUGUAGCCUUGAGCUAGUAAGGUGUUGUAGAGGCCACCUGGAUGGCAUUAAGGCCUCUAUAUAAACUUUAUGUUUCUGGCGGUUGGGUGCGUAGAUCUACUCGUCUUGUGACUGCUAAGACAAGCCUUAUAUGGCAGCCUGUUCAGGGAGCCAAGAGCCCCUUUCCAGUGACCUGUAAGAGGGGCCCCUCCUUGUUUGGGACAGCCCCCAGGGAAAGAGACGCUGCCCAACUGAACCAGCUGAUCAUCCUAGAACUAACUGCUCCCCAGACUGCCGUCCCUCCUCGCUGGGGAUGGAGUAAAGAAGACUGCCCUCCAACGUGGGUGGAUCUCAGCCAAUUGUCCAGGACUGGAAGAGGAAAAAAAGGUGGAAGGAAGGGAAAGUUGGUUUUGUCUGCCUGGCUGUUGAGCUGGAACAUGGAUCUUCCCCUGCCCUCAGACCAGGACCCGCACCAUCAUUUCUCCUGGUUCUCAGGCUUUUGAUUUGGACUGGAACUAUGCCACCAGCUCUCCUGGGUCUCCAGCAUGUAGAUGGCAGAUCAUGGGACUUCUGGGCUUCCAUAACCACGAACUUCGAGGGCGUGCUUUCUCCGGCCAUUAUAGGACACAUUAUUGGAGUUCCGCUGCAUAUAUUUGGCCCAUGGCCCAUAUGGUGGCACAAUCAGAGAGUACAGAGGCAGGGAAUGUUCCAGACCAUGCCCAUCAACUCUGAUUUAUGCUGAACUUUUCCCUGAUACUUCAGAAAGGGUCUUCCUCACCGAGUUCACCCCUCCGAUGCUCCUAGCGACUGUGUUACAAACACUGAACUGACACUGCAUGUGUUUUUUUCCCCUAGAGAUUGAGCAAUAAUCCACUUACCACUUCUAAACAGGACACAUGUUAUUGUCACAGAAAGCUGCCCUAAGGGAUGCUGCAGAGCCGCCUAGCUUAAAAUCACCCUAUAUUCUUUCUUUCUGACGUAUGAUUUUUAGCUAUUGUUAUAUAGAUCAUGUUGAUGUAGUAAUUGCAUUUUCUCUGGUUUUUAGAACUCCUUUACAUUUGUUAAAUCAGAAAUCCCUUCCGAACAGAAGUUUUCUGUUGUAUGUGACCAGCAUCUGCAUGAUUCAACUCACAAUGGUGCUUGAGGAAGUCGAUAUUAAUCCAGUGGUUAUCGCUGGGGAGUGGGGAUCAAAUGAGGGGUAGAGAGUUUUAUUUUCUAUUUCAUAAGCUUCUGUGUUGUUCAUUUAUUGUCACCAUAAGCAGAUGUCACAUUUCUAAUAACACAUAAAGGAAAUAUUUUCACAACGUGCACAAACAGUUGCAAAGAGGGUUAAAUUGGUAAAUCCCUCAGUUAUGCAUCCCAGGGAUCAGUCCCUUUCGAGGUACAAUUUAAUGGAAUCGAAGUCUAAUUCAAUUUUUGGACUUGCUUUCUGGGAGUCCUAGUUGCUCUGUGUUAGAAUGAUUGUGAGAUCCCCUGGGAAUUGCUUUCUGAGUACAAAACUUCAGAGAGUGGGAAGGAGCUGUUCCUGCUGCUGAAGGCAUUUGUUACACAUUUUCAGAAAUGAAUUUGAAGACAUUGCAAAGGCGAUAUUCUUUUUGCCAGUGUUUGAAUGAUUUUUAAAUAACAAUCUACUGGAAGUUUUUAAAUUUGGUAUUGCUGUUUAAUAUUAAUGAGCUUCCACAGUGUUAUCUAUCAUUCAUAAUAAAAAAAAAUCUCUCUGUAUAAGGAGAUACAAAGUUAUGCCGCCAUCAGGAUGAUUUUAAGUUAAAGGGAAAAUAAUCCUACCAACCUACAGAAAGACUGUAACCCUGUCUUUGUGUAGAUUUUCUUCCAAGCAUUUUGGUCAAAAUAUUUUUUAAGCUAGCCAUGUAGAUGGGAAGAAUGCAAGUCUUCUGAGAGUCAAUGAAUAUUCUGGAAAAUGUUUCAUUCAAUGAGUACAUUAAUUAGACUCUCUUGAUUCGAGGUGACAGAAACUGAAGUAGCAUAAGUGGAAAAGGUAAUAUAUUUGCUCAUGAAACUAAGUAUGGGGUAGGGGGUAUACAUGAUGAGUUUUAGGUGUGACUUGUUCCAGGGGCUCCAGCAACGUUGUUGGGCCUCUGUCUCUCUCUCUGCUUCUCUUGGCUCUGUUUCACUUAAAUGUUGGCUUCACUCUCAGGCAUGUUUUGACUGUAUGACGGGAAAGAUCACUCCUGGCUAGUGGGUGGGAGUGCCAAACUUGUUCCAAAAGGAAGAGAAAGCCACUCUUUUUCCCACAGUCCAUAUAGCAAAACCCAGGAAAGAUUCUAAUCGAACCUAUUGAAACGACCCCUGCCAGGGAGAUGGAGUUCAUUGGUUGGCCAGGUUGCAUCACCUUCCUGCUAUGAUGGGGGUUUGGGUGGGCCUCAUGGUGAACAACCCCACCAGGACAACGUGGAGUGGAGGAGGGGUUGUUCUAAAAAGAGAAGUCAUUGGAUGGACAAACCACAGUACCCACCAUGGAAAGCCACUUCCCUGGGAUCUGAUAAAUUCAUCAGCACCUAGGGAGACUGCCUAAUGGUAAUUACAUUCAGGCACUUGAUAAUUAAGUUGAUAUUGCAUUCUCUUAACUUUCAGUUCUAGCCUAGUAGUUGUAAAAAAUUACUUAGUUAUAAAUCACUUAGAACUCUUGCCACUUUUGUUCAACACAGUGUUGGAAGUCCUAGCCAGAAGCAAUUAGGCAAGAAAAAUAAAUAAAAGACAUCCAAAUCGGAAAGAAAGAAGUAAAACUGUCACUAUUUGCAGAUGACAUAUUAUAUACAGAAAACCCUAAAGACUCUCUCAAAAAACUGUUAGAACUAGUAAACAAAUUCAGUAAAGUUGUAGGAUACAAAAUCAAUAUGCAAAAACCUGUUGUAUUUCUAUACACUAAUAACAAACAAUAUAUCAGAGAAAUAAAGAAAACAAUCCCAUUGACAAUUUCAUCAAAAAGAAUAAGAUACCUAGGAAUAAAUUUAACUAAUGCAGUGAAAGAUCUGUAUAUUAAAAACUAUAAGGCAUUAGUGAAAGAAAUUGGAGAAAAAU
rnacentral:lncRNA from 1 species